GACAGAGGCCUCGAGCGUUAGGCGGAAUCACUGGGCUUAAAGCGUGUGUAGGCGGGCCCGUCAGUACCUUGUGAAAUCCCACGGCUCAACCGUGGAACCGCUGGGUAUACUGCGGGUCUUGGGCCGACUAGGGGCAGCCGGAACAAGCGGUGGAGCGGUGAAAUGCGUAGAUAUCAGGAGGAACACCAAUUGCGAAGGCAGCUCGCUGGGACGUUACUGACGCUGAGACGCGAAAGCGUGGGGAGCAAACAGG
rnacentral:rRNA from 1 species